rnacentral:rRNA from 1 species
CCUACGGGAGGCAGCAGUAGGGAAUCUUCCACAAUGGGCGAAAGCCUGAUGGAGCAACGCCGCGUGGGUGAAGAAGGCCUUCGGAUUGUAAAACUCUGUUGUUAGAGAAGAAAGUGCGUGAGAGUAACUGUUCAUGUUUCGACGGUAUCUAACCAGAAAGCCACGGCUAACUACGUGCCAGCAGCAGCGGUAAUACGUAGGUGGCAAGCGUUAUCCGGAUUGAGUGGGCGUAAAGGGAACGCAGGUGGUCUUUUAAGUCUGAUGUGAAAGCCUUCGGCUUAACCGGGGUAGUGCAUUUGAGACUGGGAGACUUGAGUGCAGAUGAGGAGAGUGGAACGCCUGGUGUAGCGGUGAAAUGCGUAGAUAUAAGGAAGAACACCGGUGGCGAAGGCAGCUUUCUGAUCUGUAACUGACGCUGAGGUUCGAAAGCGUGGGUAGCAAACAGGAUUAGAUACCCGGGUAGUC